CCUACGGGUGGCAGCAGUGAGGAAUAUUGGUCAAUGGGCGCGAGCCUGAACCAGCCAAGUCGCGUGAGGGAUGAAGGUUCUAUGGAUCGUAAACCUCUUUUAUAAGGGAAUAAAGUGUGGGACGUGUCCUAUUUUGUAUGUACCUUAUGAAUAAGGAUCGGCUAACUCCGUGCCAGCAGCCGCGGUAAUACGGAGGAUCCGAGCGUUAUCCGGAUUUAUUGGGUUUAAAGGGUGCGUAGGCGGGCUUUUAAGUCAGCGGUGAAAGUCUGUGGCUCAACCAUAGAAUUGCCGUUGAAACUGGGAGUCUUGAGGACGGUUGAGGUAGGCGGAAUUCGGGGGGGAGCGGUGAAAUGCUUAGAUAUCACGGAGAACCCCGAUUGCGAAGGCAGCUUACCAAGCCGAUAAUGACGUUGAUGCUCGAAAGUGUGGGGAUCAAACAGGAUUAGAUACCCCAGUAGUC
rnacentral:rRNA from 1 species